AGCGAACGCUGGCGGCAGGCCUAACACAUGCAAGUCGAACGGAUCCUUCGGGAUUAGUGGCGGACGGGUGAGUAACACGUGGGAACGUGCCCUUUGGUUCGGAACAACUCAGGGAAACUUGAGCUAAUACCGGAUGUGCCCUUCGGGGGAAAGAUUUAUCGCCAUUGGAGCGGCCCGCGUCUGAUUAGCUAGUUGGUGAGGUAACGGCCCACCAAGGCGACGAUCAGUAGCUGGUCUGAGAGGAUGAUCAGCCACACUGGGACUGAGACACGGCCCAGACUCCUACGGGAGGCAGCAGUGGGGAAUCUUGCGAAAUGGGCGAAAGCCUGACGCAGCCAUGCCGCGUGAAUGAUGAAGGUCUUAGGAUUGUAAAAUUCUUUCAGCGGGGACGAUAAUGACGGUACCCGCAGAAGAAGCUCCGGCUAACUUCGUG
rnacentral:rRNA from 1 species